rnacentral:ncRNA from 1 species
UGAAUAUUAGAAGUUCUUAAUGUUCUGUAAUAAUAUUAGCCAUGUUUGAACACGAUGUUCAAACAAGCCGUCAUUGAGCCAUGGAUGGCGAAUUGACGGCGGUGGCGCAUAUUAUAGAUACAUAUAUCAGAACAUUUAGAACUUCUUAGAUUC